rnacentral:rRNA from 1 species
UUCGCAAUGCCCGAAAGGGUGACGAAGCGACGCCGCGUGGGUGAGGAAAGCCUUCGGGUUGUAAAGCCCUGUCAGGAGUUAAGAAAUAUAAGUGCGCUAAUAUCGCAUUUAUUUGACGAAGGCUCCAAAGGAAGCCACGGCUAACUCUGUGCCAGCAGCCGCGGUAAUACAGAGGUGGCAAGCGUUGUUCGGAAUUAUUGGGCGUAAAGAGCACGUAGGUGGGUUUGUAAGUCAGAUGUGAAAGCCUUCUGUUCAACGGAAGAAUUGCAUCUGAAACUACAAGUCUUGAGUGUAGGAGGGGAGAAUGGAACUUCUGGUGGAGCGGUGAAAUGCGUAGAUAUCAGAAGGAACGCCGGCGGCGAAAGCGAUUCUCUGGCCUAUUACUGACACUCAGUGUGCGAAAGCUAGGGGAGCAAACGGGAUUAGACACCCCGGUAGUCCUAGCUGUAAACGAUGGGCACUAAGUAGAGGGGUUUU